rnacentral:rRNA from 1 species
AUGCAUAUGCUAUUUCAAUGUACGAAGGCAGUGGAAGUUUGGAAACUAAUGGGAUUCUAUGAUGUUGUGAAGAAGGCAUGCCAAGUUGACCGUUCAGGAGAAGUGGUUCUGGAGCAUCUUAUGUGCCUCCCAGACCCAGAUGUGCACGUCCUUGGCCUACUUACCCAUGAAGGUCAGACCCAGAAUGCUCUGGCGUGCUCUGGCGUGCCACCCGCCGCAACCUCCUCUCUGAGGUCUUCCACCCGUCGUGCCUUCGCCUCUACGCCCCCGCCCGCAGCCGCGCGCUCCGCGGUCUCGUCGCGGACCUCCGCGAACAGUGCACGUCUAAGUCUAACGACGGCGUGGCCCUCGCGGCCGAGAGCAUGCACGCUGCUAUGUUCGGCCUGA